AAUGGCAAACUUAUUCUUCCAGAGAGCAACGACUGCUAGGGUUCACCGUAUUCUUCUCUCUUUGUUAUCUAAACCGAUGUUCGAGUACCCGGGAGAGUUCGGUGAGAUGAAUCUUUAUGGCGAGUCUCUGGAUCGAGAAGAUUUCGUGACGUUCUGUCUGAGUCUCUUCUUUCUAACCGUUACGAGAUGCGUUGAUUGAAUGGUGUUGAUGACGUUAUUUACUCCAUCAACCAAGUCCAAUUAAAGAUUCUUCAUUCAAUUCAUCUUCUACACAAAGCGGUGGAAAUCCAGCUAUAUAAAUGUGAGCCUUCAUCGUUGAACAUCAUCCUCACAAAAACUUUUUCCGAAGAAAAUUUGAGUUAAGAUUUUUUUUUCUUUAUUAAUUUAGAAAGCUUAAGUUUAGAUGAUUUUUGUUUUGUUUAUUGAUUUAGCAAGCUUGAGUUUAGAUCAUGUUAGAUGAUUUUGUUUUCGUUUAAUGAUUUUGUUUUCGUUUGUUGGUAUGAUGUGGUAGGGAGCAGAGUUUGAUGAUAUUCAGCAGAUGAGGAAUACUCAUGAUUAUUUCAUUAAGUUUGUUGGAAGCAUGGCAUCGACUUUUUUGGACAUAAAGACGUAGCGUGCAGUUCAACUGAUACUCUCAAGUGGUGUGCAUAACCAUUCAUGAGGGCAUCAACUUUAGAGGAGACAUGAAUGUAUAGUUACCAACUAUUAGUUGGGGAUCCCAGCUUUGUUCAAUACCAAUUCCUAAGAACCUUUUUCAAAGACUUCGAAGCUUCAGGGUUUCAUAAAAACGGGUCAACUCGGAGCUCACGUGGGACAAGGUCUUGAGCAGAGUAAGAAGCAUUUCUCAGACGAGUUUAACCAAUUUUGUGACCGGACAAUGAGUGACGUCGUUUGGAUGCUUUGCUGGAACAGAGUCUGGCCUGAAACGCUUUUACAGGCGUUUGUUGGGGGCGUCGAAAAGUGUUUGGUUAAGUCGGUGAACCCGGGCUUGCAAAUCUUUCGCGUGGAGAAAGACUACCGGUUUGAUCUGGUUUAUAUGGAAGCAACUGGCGGUGACCGGUUUAAGGAUCUGAUUUGAGCUAUGAUUCAACCUGGAAUUUAUGUGUACAGUAGUGUGGUUAAGUGCAAGGUAGUUUGCAAACAUUUCUGAGGAAGAAGUACUAGAAGACGAUAUGGUCAAGUUAAGUGAUAAAAACGACAAGAGUUUAAGCCCAUUGGAAGGUUAAUUGCAUUAGUUAAGGAGUUAUUAAAUUGUGGGUUUUGAUUAGAAUUGGAAUGACUUUUGUAAGUAAAUAAUUGAAAACUGGCGAUGGCGUUUACAGUGAAAUGUAAAAUUGAUAUGUGAAUUUUUUUAUAUAAAUACCUUUCCACCUAA